AAUACUAGAGUUUGAUCCUGGCUCAGAUUGAACGCUGGCGGCAGGCCUAACACAUGCAAGUCGAGCGGUAGAGAGAAGCUUGCUUCUCUUGAGAGCGGCGGACGGGUGAGUAAUGCCUAGGAAUCUGCCUGGUAGUGGGGGAUAACGUUCGGAAACGGACGCUAAUACCGCAUACGUCCUACGGGAGAAAGCAGGGGACCUUCGGGCCUUGCGCUAUCAGAUGAGCCUAGGUCGGAUUAGCUAGUUGGUGAGGUAAUGGCUCACCAAGGCGACGAUCCGUAACUGGUCUGAGAGGAUGAUCAGUCACACUGGAACUGAGACACGGUCCAGACUCCUACGGGAGGCAGCAGUGGGGAAUAUUGGACAAUGGGCGAAAGCCUGAUCCAGCCAUGCCGCGUGUGUGAAGAAGGUCUUCGGAUUGUAAAGCACUUUAAGUUGGGAGGAAGGGCAGUUACCUAAUACGUGAUUGUUUUGACGUUACCGACAGAAUAAGCACCGGCUAACUCUGUGCCAGCAGCCGCGGUAAUACAGAGGGUGCAAGCGUUAAUCGGAAUUACUGGGCGUAAAGCGCGCGUAGGUGGUUAGUUAAGUUGGAUGUGAAAUCCCCGGGCUCAACCUGGGAACUGCAUUCAAAACUGACUGACUAGAGUAUGGUAGAGGGUGGUGGAAUAUCCUGUGUAGCGGUGAAAUGCGUAGAUAUAGGAAGGAACACCAGUGGCGAAGGCGACCACCUGGACUGAUACUGACACUGAGGUGCGAAAGCGUGGGGGAGCAAACAGGAUUAGAUACCCUGGUAGUCCACGCCGUAAACGAUGUCAACUUGCCGUUGGGAGCCUUGAACUCUUAUUGGCGCAG
rnacentral:rRNA from 1 species